rnacentral:rRNA from 1 species
UGAUCAUGGCUCAGAUUGAACGCUGGCGGCAGGCCUAACACAUGCAAGUCGAACGGUAACAGGAAGCAGCUUGCUGCUUCGCUGACGAGUGGCGGACGGGUGAGUAAUGUCUGGGAAACUGCCUGAUGGAGGGGGAUAACUACUGGAAACGGUGGCUAAUACCGCAUAACGUCGCAAGACCAAAGAGGGGGACCUUCGGGCCUCUUGCCAUCAGAUGUGCCCAGAUGGGAUUAGCUUGUUGGUGAGGUAACGGCUCACCAAGGCGACGAUCCCUAGCUGGUCUGAGAGGAUGACCAGCCACACUGGAACUGAGACACGGUCCAGACUCCUACGGGAGGCAGCAGUGGGGAAUAUUGCACAAUGGGCGCAAGCCUGAUGCAGCCAUGCCGCGUGUAUGAAGA